UACAGAGGGUGCGAGCGUUAAUCGGAAUUACUGGGCGUAAAGCGCGCGUAGGCGGCUUUGCAAGUCGGGUGUGAAAUCCCCAGGCUCAACCUGGGAACUGCAUUCGAGACUGCAUUGCUAGAGUAUGGGAGAGGGAAGUGGAAUUUCCGGUGUAGCGGUGAAAUUCGUAGAUAUCGGGAGGAACACCAGUGGCGAAGGCGGCGACCUGGGCCAAUACUGACGCUGAGGUGCGAAAGCGUGGGGAGCAAACAGG
rnacentral:rRNA from 1 species